rnacentral:misc_RNA from 1 species
GCCGAAUGAUAGUUUUUACUCGGCUCCCUGUAUAUAAUAAUAAAGCGACUGCUCUGCCUGCAUGCGUUGCAAUAUAUAGUAGGUAUCGCGACAUACACACAUGUAUGUUAUACACGCACAGAUGCACAUUAGGGCGACGAGACUGCAGAUGCAGAGAGACGACGAGUGGUGUGUGUGCGCGAGCGUGUGACUGACGCGUGUGCGUGAGUAUAAUAAUAAUAUAAUAUAGAAGAAAAAAAAGCAGCUUUAUCAUCGAAUAUUCGACGGCGUAUAGCCGACGACGGCCGCAGCCCGAAGCGAGUCGUCGCAAUAGCGUGCGCAAGUAUCAACACAGCAGUAGGAGCAGCAUUAUAAAGCAUAUAUAUAGGAGCAGCAGCAGAGCUUGGCCGAGGAGACCGGCGCCGCCGCCGCCACCGCCACUGCCGCCGACGACAACACGCGUCAUUGCCGCAUUGAAAAUAUAGAUUUGCCGAUUGUGCAGAGAGACAGAGAGAGAGAGAGAGAGAAACUGCCUCGCGAGCGAGCCAAGGCAGUAGCACGAGCAGGCGGCAGUAGCAGCAGCCGCCAGUCGCCACCGCCGCAAUCAGACACACGAUAUAUAGGUAUCGCCAAUUCGCGUACAACACUGGCUGCUCGUCUCCUCCGGCGCCGCGACGCAACGCGCGCUAGACAGUCGCGUAUACGCUGCACGAGCUAUUACAUCGACCUAUAGUGCAGCGCCUAAUUGACUAUUGUCCGAGUGGCCCCCCAGCAGCAGCAGCCGCCGCCGCAAACCACGUAAACAAAGUUUCUGUCUACGCGAGUCUUGUUUGUGUAUCAGACUGUAGCAGCAGCAGCAGCUCGUCAGUCGUGUCCGUCCGUCACCGAGUCUGCAGACUGCGCCGCGGAGUCGCGACCACGUUACUUUGCGGUUUUGCGUCGACGUCAGCUAUCGUCAUUACGCACACAUCGACGUCCUGACACGCGUCCGUUCGAUGCACACCUCAUCCCGCAGCCUAUCGUCGAGCUUUAAAGACCGCGAGUGCACCUCUACGUCCAGUCAAGCUCUCUGCUGGGUCUCGCUCUGAUCGCCUGUCGUCGUCUAGACUGCGCCUCGUCUGCAGCCCGCAGCACGUCCGAGAGAGAGAGUACUCGCCAACCAAUACGUGAGCAGUAUUUGUACAUGCUCGUAAAAUAUCGCCGAGGUAUUCGUCGAUUGCACAGCUAUACGGAGCAGUAGAGUCUAAGCCAACUCUAUAUAGCGGGGAGCCGGCACGCGCGUGCCCUGCCUAUCUCUUUCUCUUUCUCUCCCACUUUUUCCUUUUUCUUCGGACUUUUGCGGCUUUAACCCAUGUGAGCAAGCAGAGCAACUACAGAAACACCUCGCCUUUCGAUGGAAAUGUCAGGUCGCCGCCACAGACAGUGAUAAUCAGUUACCAAGUGUUUUUCUACACACUCGAGCAACAUUGUUUCUCAUUGGUUCUCAACGCAGAUGAGCUUCCACUUCAAAAAUUCACUUUUAAUUGCUUUUUCACCAUAUUACCCUGUUGCAAGGGUUGAUUACUCAACAACUAUUCAUGUGUGUCUGGUUGAAGUAACUGCUACCUAGUCAAUCAAAUUGUCAACUUCAACAUUUUCACAGUUUAUUUCAACAAUUGUCCAAAAGUUAUCGCCUUCAAAGCUGCAUGUAUAGAUUUCAACGCCAGCUGUUGUUGCCUUCUACUUUUUGCACACCACGUUGAUAUUAGUGCUUGUCAUCUACCCUUUAUAUAUAAGUGGGUUCAGUUCCUGAUUUAAACAAAGUGCUAGUUCACAAAUUAUUCAAUGUCAUUAAUUUCAUGCAAUUGGUCAAAUGAAACAAAUGGACAAUUAGUGAAUUGUGAAAGUGUUAACUUUCAGUGCUAGUUUAUCAAUUUUUUGUGGCAUCAGUCAAUGCAUAGUAUUUGUUGCUAUUGAACUGAUCUCAGGAGGGCUAGUCAUACUAAUGCCCAGCAUUAGUGAGCUUUUAUAAAUAUUGAGUGUGUUAAGAGUUGAGUGUGAUGCCUGGGAGUCGUACUAGUAUCGAACCCGAGCACAAAUCCCCUAGGGAAAGUGGUGAAGAUUCUGAAGAUGAAAGUGAAAUUUUGGAGGAAAGCCCCUGUGGUCGGUGGCUCAAACGCCGUGAAGAGGUAUGUUUUUCACAUAUCGUAUUUUAUCAUGAAAAGGUGGAACAACAAGACUUGCCAGGGAUAGACUGCGCGUAUUUGGCGAUGGAUACCGAGGAAGGCGUCGAAGUCGUGUGGAAUGAAGUUCAAUUUUCCGAAAGAAAAAAUUUCAAAGCUCAAGAGGAAAAGAUACAGCUUGUCUUUGAAAACUUGACGCAACUCGAGCACCCUAAUAUAGUUAAAUUCCAUCGUUACUGGACGGAUACUCACAAUGACAAGCCUCGUGUCAUUUUUAUUACUGAGUACAUGUCAUCUGGGUCUUUGAAACAGUUUCUCAAGCGAACCAAAAGGAAUGUCAAAAAGCUACCCUUGCAAGCUUGGAAGAGGUGGUGUACGCAAAUACUCUCUGCUCUCAGUUACUUGCAUUCCUGCUCUCCACCAAUAAUACAUGGUAAUCUCACAUGUGACACCAUUUUUAUUCAACACAAUGGUCUAGUCAAAAUUGGCUCUGUGGCUCCUGAUGCGAUUCAUCAGCAUAUCAAGACUCACAGAGAAAACAUGAAAAAUAUGCAUUUCAUUGCUCCUGAAUAUGGAGUUUCCAUAACUCCAUCUACAGAUAUUUUCUCAUUCGGCAUGUGCGCAUUGGAAAUGGCUGCAUUGGAAAUUCAAGGCAACGGAGAUAGUGGAAAUGUUGUUACAGAAGAACAUAUUAUGAAAACUAUUGAUUCGCUGGACGAUAUUCAACAAAAAAACUUUAUUCGCAAAUGUAUACAAGGGGACCCAUUAAAUAGGCCAAGUGCCCGGGAGUUACUUUUUCACCCUAUUUUGUUUGAGGUUCAUUCCUUGAAACUGCUUGCUGCACAUGCCUUAGUCAACUCUGCUACAAAUAUAUCGGAAACAAUAACAGAUGAAGUGCUGCAAAGGCUAUAUGGACCGGAUACCGUGGUGGCUGAGAUGAGAUAUCAAAAUCGUCCACCCCACCAAAUACGUUUGAGUGAUUUUCCUGUUGCUGAAAAAUUAGAAAAAUUUGUCGAAGACGUAAAAUAUGGGAUUUAUCCACUGACUGCAUUUAAAGCAAAACUUCCACCACCUGUUCGGCCUCGAGCUAUUUCUCCUGAAGUAGCUGAAUCUGUAAAAUCUGUCACUCCAGAACCAAUUGACACAGAGACUCGGAGAGUAGUCAAUAUGAUGUGUAAUGUAAAGGCAAAAGAAGAUUGUACCGAGCUGCAAAUGACAAUUUUAUUAAGAAUGGAUGACAAAAUGAAUAGACAAUUAACUUGUCCAGUUUCUGAAAAUGAUACUCCAUUACUUUUAGCUCAAGAACUUGUGAAUUUUGGAUUCAUCAAUGAGAUUGAUCGUGAUAUGUUAGCAAAUUUGAUUGAUGAAGCUUUAGCAAGUUGUUUCAACAAAAGAAUGUUAAAACCUGGUAUGGUGUCGUUGUCUAAUCUAGUAAAUCCAACAACAUUAAGACUACCAGAGCCAGGUCAAUCUCAGAUUCGAACUUUGGACGCAGAAGCGUUAUCAAAACAUCUACAACUUCAAGCAACUUUAGCUGCACAAAAUAAUAUGGGCCUUGAUACUCCAAUGAAUAAGCAUCAGGAACAGUUGCACCAGCAGCAUCAAACGGAUGAACCACAAACAAUGGCUACGAAUGAGGUUACUAGUUAACCACCGGCCUCUCUGCUCAACGCAUUUCAUGGCCAUUACUUUUUACAUUGCUUAUGCUACUAUUGUUGUGCUGCGCUUCAUUCUCCAUGUACAGACUGGCUAUUUAUUUUUAUAUUUUUAAAUCAGCGAUCGGCUGUAAUGAUGUAGAUGGCAAUUGCCGGUCAAGGGUUUCCCCUUACCGUGAAAAACAGGUAUUCUUCGACAACUUAUAUCAAGAUCAUGGCUAUGAUGAUGGCCUGCGGCCGAUUUUAAUUGUAUAAAUUAAAUUAAUAUUGACACCCCUAUUUUUGUUGAAAAUAAUUUUCUAAUGUCACUUGGAACAAAAGAUUUCGCCUUUUUGAGAAUGAAAAAAUAUGGUGAAUCUCUUAACAUUCAUGGGUAUUAAAAAUUGGGCACAAGUAUUAUCACUCUAUUGGACAUAAAGCUUUAUCUUAAUAUUUAAUUCAAUUCAUAGUAAUACGAUUUAUUAUAAAUUAAAUAUUGAAAAAUCAGUCAAACUAAUUUGAUGAAUUAUUAUAAAUAGCUUACGUACAAUUUUGCAUUUUGUGUUGAAAAUUUAUGAAACUAAAAAAUAACUAAAAUAUUUUCUCAUAAAAGAAUGGAUUUUAUAUUUCGAGGUACAGUAAACUUUGUCUUUUCGAUUUUUCAUUGUUGCUUGUAUCGUACUGUUUUAAGAUCAUGCUUGAAAUUUUUAAUAUAAAGUUCUAAAUUUUUAAUAUAAAGAUUAAAUCACUUUUACAUUUUUAUAGAAAUUAUAGUAAUUUUACGCUUAUGUUUAUACGUGUUUGUAAAAAGAAAAAUUUGUUUACAAUUCUCCGUACCAAUUCAUUAAGAAUGCAGAUUUGUCUCGUGAAUGUACGGCGUUUAAAGCCAACCUUGAUCAUUGAAGAUACAAUAUAUAAAAUGUAAAGGAAACAAAUGUUAUCAAAAUUGUAAAAAUGAACAAUAGUUUUGAAUACACAUUUCGCACAAAAAAUGAGUAACAGUAGUAAAUAUGUAAGUCAAUCCAUUUAGGCCAGCAGUAAUGAUAACUGAACGAAAUAUAACAAUACAGUCCUUACUCACCGUAAGUCUCUAGAGAUCUUAUUGUUUCAUGUUACGGUACACAUUAAACGAGAAAUACUGUGGUAUUGAAUAUGACACUAACUUGUUGGGUAUUACUAUUAAUAUAUCAAAGUUAUUAACAAGCUUAUUAUUCAUCAUAUUUCUUUCGGAGCUGAAUUGUUAUGAUAACGGCAAUAAUUAUUUAUUCAGAAUCGUAUAAUUAAUAAUAUUCCGUUCAACUACGUAAAAAAAUAAUUGAAAUUUUAUUAAAAUGUUUAAAAUAUAAUAUAUUAACGAAAGCUAGAGAGCUUAUUUGAUUUUUUUUAAAUUAAAAGAUGCAAUAACUACCAGUUGAAGGAUUCGAAUGAACUUACAGUAUCAAAAUAAUUUACAAAAGGAAAAUACCAAACUUAACAUAAUCAUGUAACUCCGGAAUAGAAACAAGGUUUUACAACCGUAACAUAUAAAAAGGAAAAGUCAUGUUCGAAAUAUGAGUUUGCUGUAAAUAAAAACUAUAUUUUUAAGAGAAACUGUCAAUACAGAAAACUAGUCAUAACUAUAUUCAAAUGUUGAAUAGACUAACACACCGACUUCCUUACGUCUUUUUUGCAUUUAAAAUUAUGACAAACGCUUGGCCAAGAUGGAAAAGAAUUUUUUGAGAUUAAGAUUGAAUUUAAAAAAAUCGUAAAUGAAUUACAAAAAAUAAACAAGUGUGAAUAAAUAAACACAAGUUAAUGAGAACAAGGUACUGCUCUUAUUUUUGUCCAUACUUCCGAAAAAUAACGAGAAUAUUGAAUCGUUGCAUUUUUUAUAAAAAUUAAUUAUAGAAUAAAUAAUGCGUGAUAAAGAACCGCCCGAGAAAAUGGUAGAAUGUGAAUAUACAGAAUUGUACACUUCAACUUCAAAAUGUUUACAAUGUCGAGAUGCAAAGUGAAUGAAAUGUAUAGCGAUAUUUUCUCGACUUAUUACUUUUUUGUAAUAAAAUGCUAAAUUGUUGUGAUGCAAACUUGAAUAUAAUGAUGUAAUAUAGUAGAAAAUGUGGUAAUAGAAAGCCAUUAUUAUAUUCGUUCAGAGUUUAGCUCGAAUCGUUUUUUUUUAUUGUUUGUUUUAUCGGAAUGACAAAUUCCACAAAGUGAUAACGUGAAUAAAAUGAUGAGAAUUAGAGUCUCUUUUGCAGUCUGUUAUUAUUUUUUGUUCGCUUCUAAAUAAGCUUUAUUUAUGUAUAGAAUAGCGUUUUACUCGCAAGAUAUUACAAAAUUCAUAUAAACUAAAUAAUGUUCCUCUUGUUUAUUUCUUUUAUUUUUGUACACACACCAUGAUAAAAUUGAAAGAGGCAGUUAAAGACAUCAAAAGUAUUUUUUCAUAGAUUUCACUACAAUUGUGAAGUAUAAUAUCAUUACUUGAAAUGCAUUCUGAUCGGGACUGAUGGAUGAACACUGUGUAAAUCCAAGUAACAUUACAAUAUAUUUU